CCUACGGGAGGCAGCAGUGGGGAAUAUUGGGCAAUGGGCGCAAGCCUGACCCAGCAACGCCGCGUGAAGGAAGAAGGCUUUCCGGUUGUAAACCUCUUUUGACAGGGAAGAGCAGAACACGGUACCUGUCGAAUAAGCCACGGCUAACUACGUGCCAGCAGCCGCGGUAAUACGUAGGUGGCCAGCGUUGUCCGGAUUUACUGGGUGUAACGGGCGUGUAGCCGGGCUGACAAGUCAGAUGUGAAAUCCGGGGGCUCAACCCCCGAGCUGCAUUUGAAACUGUUGGACUUGAGUAUCGGAGAGGCAGGCGGAAUUCCUAGUGUAGCGGUGAAAUGCGUAGAUAUUAGGAGGAACACCAGUGGCGAAGGCGGCCUGCUGGACGGCAACUGACGGUGAGGCGCGAAAGCGUGGGGAGCGAACAGGAUUAGAUACCCCAGUAGUC
rnacentral:rRNA from 1 species